rnacentral:rRNA from 1 species
UGGGAAGUCCUCGUGUUGCACCCAUC